GAAAUGCGAUAAGUAGUGUGAAUUGCAGAAUUCAGUGAAUCAUCGAAUCUUUGAACGCACAUUGCGCCCUUUGGUAUUCCAAAGGGCAUGCCUGUUCGAGCGUCAUUUGUACCCUCAAGCUUUGCUUGGUGUUGGGCGUCUUGUCUCUAUCUUUGCUGGAGACUCGCCUUAAAGUAAUUGGCAGCCGGCCUACUGGUUUCGGAGCGCAGCACAAGUCGCACUCUCUAUCAGCAAAGGUCUAGCAUCCAUUAAGCCUUUUUUUCAACUUUUGACCUCGGAUCAGGUAGGGAUACCCGCUGAACUUAAGC
rnacentral:misc_RNA from 1 species